ACCUACGACAGUUAUUAAAUUGACUAGGACUACUGUAUGCGAUGAAUAUCCAAUACCAAACAAUCUUAAUCGCCAUAUUUAAACAGCAUUAAACUUUGGCAAGCUUAUACCUAUUCUGAGUUACUUGAAAGGUUAAUCGAAAACAUAGAUUACCAUGCUACUCAUAAACUUUCUCGGCAGUUCAAUUAUUUCGUGAAAAAAAUACCACCAAAGCAACUUAAACCAUCCAAAGGACAGGUGCAGGAGUGGCUGUGUGGUAAGUAGCUAGCUUACCACUUCCGGUUUUGCUCACUGCACUUGUGCGUCAGACUUGCUCCUUGCCGCCAACCAAGGUAGACAUGAGUUUGGC